UUAAGUUCAGCGGGUAGUCUCACCCGAUUUGAGGUCAAGGUUUUUUCUUUUGUGGGUCCAGCCUCCUCCACCAAUGUAGACGGCGGUGACCAGAGCACCAUCAUUGUCCGUGAGACAGUUAGGAGCAGGCAUCUAAGGGACAGUGCUAAAUCCAAAACGUAGAAACAUCUUAUCACGUCAAGGACCAGCAAAGCAGACCC
rnacentral:misc_RNA from 1 species